rnacentral:rRNA from 1 species
CGGACGGGUGAGGUAACGCGUGGAAAACCUGCCGUAUACUGGGGGAUAACACGUUAGAAAUAGGUGCUAAUACCGCAUAAGCGCACAGCUUCGCAUGAAGUGGUGUGAAAAACUCUGGUGGUAUACGAUGGUUCCGCGUCUGAUUAGCUUGUUGGUGGGGUAAUGGCUCACCAAGGCGACGAUCAGUAGCCGGCCUGAGAGGGUGAACCGGCCACAUUGGGACUGAGACACGGCCCAAACUCCUACGGAAGGCAGCAG